rnacentral:rRNA from 1 species
AUGCUAAGUACUCUAUGGUUUGGUGCUUUAGCAGGUUUAUUGAUAGAAAUUAAUCGUUUAUUCCCAGAUGCUUUGUCAUUCCCUUUUUUUUAA